GACGAACGCUGGCGGCGUGCUUAACACAUGCAAGUCGAACGGAAAGGCCCCUUCGGGGGUACUCGCUUGGCUAACAGGUGAGUAACACGUGCGUAACCUGCCCUUGCCUUCGUGAUAACUUCAGGAAACUGGGGCUAAUACCGAAUAGGAAUCCUUUCUUCAUGGUUGGGGUUGGAAAGCUUCGGCGGUUUUGGGUGGACUCGCGGCUUAUCAGCUUGUUGGUGGGGUAGUGGGUUACCAAGGCGUUGACGGGUAGGCGGCCGGAGUGGGCGACCGGCCACAUUGGGGAUGGGAGAAGGCCCAGACUCCGAAGGGAGGCAGCAGUGGGGAAGAUUGCACAAAGGGCGGAAGACCGAUGCAGGAACGGCGGGGGGGGGAUGACGGCCUUCGGGUUGGAAACCGCCUUCAGCAGGGGCGAAGCUGGUGGUGACGGUACCUGCAGAAGAAGCACCGGCUAACUACGUG
rnacentral:rRNA from 1 species